rnacentral:rRNA from 1 species
UAUUAGCUAGUUGGUGAGGUAACGGCUCACCAAGGCAAUGAUACGUAGCCGAACUGAGAGGUUGAUCGGCCACAUUGGGACUGAGACACGGCCCAAACUCCUACGGGAGGCAGCAGUAGGGAAUCUUCCACAAUGGACGCAAGUCUGAUGGAGCAACGCCGCGUGAGUGAAGAAGGCUUUCGGGUCGUAAAACUCUGUUGUUGGAGAAGAAUGGUCGGCAGAGUAACUGUUGUCGGCGUGACGGUAUCCAACCAGAAAGCCACGGCUAACUACGUGCCAGCAGCCGCGGUAAUACGUAGGUGGCAAGCGUUAUCCGGAUUUAUUGGGCGUAAAGCGAGCGCAGGCGGUUUUUUAAGUCUGAUGUGAAAGCCCUCGGCUUAACCGAGGAAGUGCAUCGGAAACUGGGAAACUUGAGUGCAGAAGAGGACAGUGGAACUCCAUGUGUAGCGGUGAAAUGCGUAGAUAUAUGGAAGAACACCAGUGGCGAAGGCGGCUGUCUGGUCUGUAACUGACGCUGAGGCUCGAAAGCAUGGGUAGCGAACAGGAUUAGAUACCCUGGUAGUCCAUGCCGUAAACGAUGAAUGCUAGGUGUUGGAGGGUUUCCGCCCUUCAGUGCCGCAGCUAACGCAUUAAGCAUUCCGCCUGGGGAGUACGACCGCAAGGUUGAAACUCAAAGGAAUUGACGGGGGCCCGCACAAGCGGUGGAGCAUGUGGUUUAAUUCGAAGCAACGCGAAGAACCUUACCAGGUCUUGACAUCUUUUGAUCACCUGAGAGAUCAGGUUUCCCCUUCGGGGGCAAAAUGACAGGUGGUGCAUGGUUGUCGUCAGCUCGUGUCGUGAGAUGUUGGGUUAAGUCCCGCAACGAGCGCAACCCUUAUGACUAGUUGCCAGCAUUUAGUUGGGCACUCUAGUAAGACUGCCGGUGACAAACCGGAGGAAGGUGGGGAUGACGUCAAAUCAUCAUGCCCCUUAUGACCUGGGCUACACACGUGCUACAAUGGAUGGUACAACGAGUUGCGAGACCGCGAGGUCAAGCUAAUCUCUUAAAGCCAUUCUCAGUUCGGACUGUAGGCUGCAACUCGCCUACACGAAGUCGGAAUCGCUAGUAAUCGCGGAUCAGCACGCCGCGGUGAAUACGUUCCCGGGCCUUGUACACACCGCCCGUCACACCAUGAGAGUUUGUAACACCCGAAGCCGGUGGCGUAACCCUUUUAGGGAGC